AGAGAGAGACAUGCGCGCAUAUCAAUAAGCGGAGGAAAAGAAACUAACUAGGAUUCCCUCAGUAACGGCGAGUGAAGCGGGAAGAGCUCAAAUUUGAAAUCUUCAAGGUUCUACCUUGACGAAUUGUAGUUUAAAGAAGUGUUUUCUGUUGGAGUUUUGGUAAAAGUUCUUUGGAAUAGGACAUCAUAGAGGGUGAGAAUCCCGUAUUUGACCAUUAUUUCCAGCUUUGUGAUACACUUUCAAAGAGUCGGAUUGUUUGGGAAUGCAGUCCAAAAUGGGUGGUAAAUUUCAUCUAAAGCUAAAUACUGGCGAGAGACCGAUAGCGAACAAGUACCGUGAGGGAAAGAUGAAAAGAACUUUGAAAAGAGAGUUAAACAGUACGUGAAAUUGUCAAAAGGGAAGCGUUAUGACACCAGUGUUGUUUUCUCGAAAAUCAAUUAAAAAAGGCAGGAUUUUGUGUUGUAUUGACUUUAUCAGCUUUCUGCACUCUUUUCUUGUCUUUUUUAAUGCACUUUUCGUUUAACAAGUCAGCAUCAAUUUCUUUCGUUGUAAAAGGGUCAUUGGAAGGUGGCUUUCUUUUCGGAGAAAGUGUUUAUAGCCUUUGGCCUCUGCAAUCGGAGAGAUUGAGGUCUGCAGCGUAGAUCCUUCGGGGUUAGAUACAUUUGUGCUAAGUUAUAGCCUUUCAUAGACAACUUGUUGACUAUGAUCAGUCAUGUAGCUUACUCGCUUAUGCUAUUUUACCUACGCUUAGGAUGUUGAUGUGAUACUGCGAGCA
rnacentral:rRNA from 1 species